UACUCCUACGGGAGGCAGCAGUGGGGAAUAUUGGACAAUGGGCGCAAGCCUGAUCCAGCCAUACCGCGUGGGUGAAGAAGGCCUUCGGGUUGUAAAGCCCUUUUGUUGGGAAAGAAAUCCAGCUGGUUAAUACCCGGUUGGGAUGACGGUACCCAAAGAAUAAGCACCGGCUAACUUCGUGCCAGCAGCCGCGGUAAUACGAAGGGUGCAAGCGUUACUCGGAAUUACUGGGCGUAGAGCGUGCGUAGGUGGUCGUUUAAGUCCGUUGUGAAAGCCCUGGGCUCAACCUGGGAACUGCAGUGGAUACUGGACGACUAGAGUGUGGUAGAGGGUAGCGGAAUUCCUGGUGUAGCAGUGAAAUGCGUAGAGAUCAGGAGGAACAUCCAUGGCGAAGGCAGCUACCUGGACCAACACUGACACUGAGGCACGAAAGCGUGGGGAGCAAACAGGAUUAGAUACCCUGGUAGUCCACGCCCUAAACGAUGCGAACUGGAUGUUGGGUGCAAUUUGGCACGCAGUAUCGAAGCUAACGCGUUAAGUUCGCCGCCUGGGGAGUACGGUCGCAAGACUGAAACUCAAAGGAAUUGACGGA
rnacentral:rRNA from 1 species